UAAGAAUCGAAUGAUUUUUCAAUGAUCAAUAAAGGAUGGGCAGGGAUGGAUUUAAUUUAUUCUCUAUGACAUGAAUGAUACAUUAAACCAUGUAAAAUAGACAUGCGCAUUCUUUUCUUUGUUUUGUAAUCAAUCGAAUACCCACCAGAAAUAUUAGCCAAUCACAGUGCAGGCUUGUAUAGCGAACACAUAGGUACCUGAUUCUUUACAGGUGAUCUGAAUUAUGGAACGCCAAACUAACAUAAAAUCAAUUCACUGCCAAUGGGUCCCGUCAAUUAAAUGAAUAUUUGUAAAUUUGUCGUUCCAUACAGCUAGAGACGCCGAUUCGAACAACCCAGUCGCCUGGUAACCGUGGUGAGUACUUUUCAGAUACAAACUUAAGAAAGCAAACAUCCCCCAACCGUCCUUCAAUUUGAAAUUGAGCGGCCAAGUGAAAGCAUCUAUUCACAUUAGCCAAAUAUAGGAUACGUCUCUCAUCUCAAACAGACAUAUCUCCUGUUAUCGGUCGGACGAUGGCGGCGUGGUAGUUCUUCUUUGGAUUGCACUAAAGGAGACAAGAAGUUUAUGGUAUCAUAGAGAGGUCCACACACGUUAUUAUUUAUCUUAUACUGGGUCUGUCUUUAUAUUCUGGCUGGUUGAUGUGUAUAAGCUUGGCUUGUGCACCAGAUUCCUUUGUAAAUAUCAUGUGAAGUUUUCCAUGAUGUAUUAAUAGGUUUUUUUUGGUUGAAAGUUGUAGACAUGGGGAGUAAUUAAAUUGGGAUAUAUUAAUAUGGCAUCAAUCAACUAAUCCCACAUCUCCUUUAGGCAACUAAUAUUUUCUUUUUGGGGUUCUUCUUUUGUUUGUUUUUUUUUGCAUGUUUUUCACUGCAUUUGCUUAAGUAAGGGGUGCUAUAUUUAAUAUAUUCUGAUAUUUGGUUUAUCUUAGAUUUUUAAUGCCCUUAAUGUAUAUUGCAAAUUUCUCAUGAGAGUCCAGUAAAGAUAAUCUUGUAUAACGUGUUUCUAUGAUAAACUUAGAUGUAUUGUUGAUAGUGGGGUCUAGAGAGUUUACGGAUACAGGAUCGUGGGGAUAUGUUUGUAAGGGACGUAUGAAGACGGUGAUAGUUGUGGAUGAGCAGGACACACAGCAUAUUAUACAUGGAGGACCACAACAAUGUUAAGACGCCGAAUGAUCAAUAUGACGAUUACCACUGGUAUAGGAGAACAGACAGGCUGUGAUUUGGAUGGAUGUCAAGCGGCAGUUUAUGGUACCGGGAACUCGACUGGGAAAUGGAAGUUGCAUAGGGAAAUUCUAGAUUGGCAAUAACAGGUUUAUGUUUUUUCUGUAUGUAUUGUAUAUAUUUUCUAAAUUUUCAUGGGUCCGUCUGAUAGGUACAGUAAAGGACAUUCUGUUGACUAGUUUGAAACACAUCUUAAAAUGGGGACCCCUUGGAAACACUGACUUUUAGUUAGGCUUGAGGUGUAAAACUACUUAAGGGACCGAGUCUAUCUGUUAUGUCUAGGGUAACAUGUCAUAACUUCAACAACAACGAUCACACCGAAGAUGUUUACCUCUAUCGGGAGAAAACACACCGACGACCAGAUGGGACGGACAGUUUCUUCAUACAUACAGAAAAUAAACACCAUAACUUCAUCAACAAAGAUCACACCGAAUAUGUUUAUCUCUAUCGGGAGAAAACACCGACGGUCAGAUGGGACGGACAGUUUCUUCAUACAUACACAAAAUAAACACCAUAACUUCAACAACAAAGAUUACACCGAAUAUGUUUAUCUCUAUCGGGAGAAAACACCGACGGUCAGAUGGGACGGACAGUUUCUUCAUACAUACACAAAAUAAACACCAUAACUUCAACAAAGAUCACACCGAAUAUGUUUGUCUCUAUCGAGAGAAAACACACCGACGGUCAGAUGGGACGAACAGUUUCUUCUAUAUCCCGAAAACACAACAUAAACAGAUACUUCACUAGUCUACAGACACAACAUAAGUUUCUUCACUAGUCUACAGACACUACAGACACAAAAGUUUCUUCACUAUUCUACAUACACAAAGAUUCGGGGUUCCUUGCAGCCAGGUGGCGAGACCUGUGCUUGAGGUUAUUGUCUGGAGAUUAGAAAUGGUGGUAAUGGUUGUAGGCUGCAGACGUACCAUUACUUCUUAGAACAUGUACACAACUACAUUCAGUCCAAUUUAGGACUUCCGUUCUUUUCGAAUUGUGAUCACCACACAAUUAUAAGACAGACCAUAACGCAAGGGUUAUGACAUUGUUAAUCUUAACACGAUUCUGGAUGAAAUAUAUUACAAACUUCUGUCUCCUACGAAGUUUUCCGUUUUCCGUCGAUUCUGGUGUGCACACCCCAUUCAUUGGCCUUCGACGGGGGCAGUUAUCUUUGAAGACUUGAAAUUGGCCACCCAGUUAUCUCUAAUAGUUAGUUUACUGUUAUAUCUUAUAGCUAUAUAGGCAGUUCGCUUCGUUUCUCUAGAACAUUACAUUUGGGCUUGUUUCAUCAUGUAGAGUUUAAACCGAUAUCUUCACUAAAAGUCUAUCAAAUCACUUCUCUAUGUAAAGGUGUGUCCAAGACUGGUUAGCAGGUGUUCCUUUACUGUAACAUUUUGAUUCACAAAUUGAUGGGGUUCGUUUGCAAUUUGGAUUUAACUAUUGUUAUAUAUCACCAACGGUCAUCAAUUUAUCUAAAUAAGCUUGUUAUUGCCAUCAAUUUAUCUAAAUAAGCUUGUUAUUUCCAUCAAUUUAUCUAAAUAAGCUUGUUAUUGCCAAACUAGUAUUUUUCUAAUGAAGUCGUCUACAGAUGUCUACUGUUAUUAUUGUUUAUUUAUAUUAUAUUCAUGAUUAUGUUUAUUUACAAUGUAAGGUCAGUAGUGAGUAAACACUUCCAGUUGAUCAGAGCACUUGGGAAAAUCCUACCUCCCCCUUCCUAAAUGGGAGUUAGGGUUGGGUAGCCGGCUCGCAAUACUGACCAUUGAUGUUAGAAACGCUUACAAAGAUCAGAAUAUUUAGUUUUGGGUAACAUUAUACUUUAUAAGUACAUAUGAGGUCAACAUUCAAAAUUUUUCAUUGUCUAUAAUGUGUAUUGUGUUUGUCGUUGGUAACUCAAUCCGCCAUUUUAAAUAACCAUUUCAAAAAUACAAUUUUUUUCGAGGGGUGGAGAGGUUACUUUUCCAUAUUUUUAAUCAAAUAUCUUAUGAUACUAACUUUUUAUACAUUUUGGAAACAUUAUUUAAUUUUUAUGCUCCCAUAUUUUCAGGCCAAAGGUUAAAAUUCUAUUUUUCACUUUCUAAACUUGGAACAUAAAACUUGAUGGGUUUUUAAAUGAGGUCAAAUAACGAUUAUUUCAAACUUGGACACACCAAUAUGAUUUUGUGUUUGGGAGGGAGGGGAGGAAAGGGAUGUUAUGUCAGACCCAUAAGAUGUUUUAAUUUAUAUUUAUAUUUCACUGAUAUUACUCUUGGGACAAUAUCAUCGACAUAUGAUUUUUCUUUAUUAUCAUAAUGAUUAUCUUAUGUUAAAUUAAUACACAUUAUAAAGGUUGUUAUUUUGUACCCCCAUAUUAAACAUUAUUUAUGCCUGUAGAUCUGUGAUGCUACAUGUCAAACUUCUAAAUUUUCCAUUUUUUUAAACUUGGAACAAACCUUUAUGGGAAUUUGAACGGGGUAAAAAUAUUUCGAAAGUUUCGGCAUACCAAAAUGAUGUGAGGGUGGUGGGUGGAUCGUGACCGCCAGAUCGUCAUGCUAUAGGUCAACAUUCUAAAUUUUCUUUUUUUUCCUAAACUUGGAACAUAAACCUUUAUGGGAAUUAGAACGGGUCAAAAUUAUUUCGAAAUUUUCGACAUACCAACAUGUAGUAGUGGGUGCGGGGUGGUUAUGUUUUUAGGAGCAACCGCAUUUCAUAGCUUUUAAAAUAUUGUUUAAUAUGGACCAAUUGAUAAUUUAUCAGUUAAAAGAGAUUAUAUUAUUGUAUUGUUUGUUAAUUAAAUACUGAUAGAUGUACUUAAAAAUCAUUUACAAAUAAAAUAUUUCACCAUCACUGUGGUUUGGAUCUGAUAGGGUGGGGGAACACUAGCCUUGUAAUUUUGCUGUGAAAUGUUGAACAAGCCG